AGAGCUAAUAGAAAUGUGAAUCAACUAGGAUUCGAACUUAGGACUUUAAUUAGUUAUUAAUCAUCAAGCUCUUUGCCACUUGCGCUGGAGACGAUCGGUGAUUAGUGGAUUAGUGUUAACAUGAACAAUAUAGGAAGCAGAUAAACAUUACUAAUCUCUCCUCCCUCUUAUGUAAGGGAUUGAGUUCUUUACUGGACUGAAAUAAGUUCAAUUUUCUGUACUGUGAUAAUAGACUAAAAAAACUAAUAAGUUGAGUGGGCUGUGAUUCAAAAUUGACCUAACAGAAAGAUACCCAACAAUAAACCUAAAGUGCAGGUGAGUUGAAUCAGGUCGAAGCCCAUGAACUUUGUCGUAGCCCUUAAGGGCAUUGAGUGCGCCCUUUCUAUAAGCACAUACUUUUAAAAUAGUUAAUUAGCACUAAUGAUUCACAAUAUA
rnacentral:lncRNA from 1 species